AGGGGUUUAGGAUGGACCCAGACCAGGGGCCUUCAAAGCCCCAAGCGGGAGUGAGAGCCUCCCAACCCCUG
rnacentral:tRNA from 1 species